CAAGUUCGAACGAAUCCCACCGCUGUAGCAAUACAGUGGCGGGGGAAGUGGCGAAAGGGGCAGUAAUGCGUGGGUAACCUACCCCGGGGACGUGGAUAGCCUUCCUAACGGAAGGGUAAUACACGGCGAUCUGGCUGGGAGGCAUCUCCUGUUCAGGAAAUGAAUCUCGCCUCGGGAGGGGCUCACGUCGUAUUAGCUUGUUGGUGGGGUAACGGCCCACCAAGGCAAAGAUGCGUAGCGGGUGUGAGAGCACGACCCGCGCCACUGGCACUGAGACACUGGCCAGACUCCUACGGGAGGCUGCAGUCGAGGAUCUUCGGCAAUGGGCGCAAGCCUGACCGAGCGACGCCGCGUGUGCGAUGAAGGCCUUCGGGUUGUAAAGCACUGUCGAGGGGGAGUAAGCCGAAAGGUUGAACUAUCCCUGGAGGAAGCACGGGCUAAGUUCGUGCCAGCAGCCGCGGUAAGACGAACCGUGCGAACGUUGUUCGGAAUCACUGGGCUUAAAGGGCGCGUAGGCGGGUGUGCAAGUCUGUGGUGAAAGCCUCCAGCUUAACUGGAGAAGUGCCGUGGAUACUGCACAUCUUGAGGAGGGUAGGGGCAUCUGGAACGGUCGGUGGAGCGGUGAAAUGCGUUGAUAUCGACCGGAACUCCGGUGGCGAAGGCGAGGUGCUGGACCCUUUCUGACGCUGAGGCGCGAAAGCCAGGGGAGCAAACGGGAUUAGAUACCCCGGUAGUCCUGGCCCUAAACGUUGAGGACUAGGUUGUGGACUUAACAUGGGUUCACAGCCGGAGCAAAAGUGCUAAGUCCUCCGCCUGGGGAGUAUGGUCGCAAGGCUGAAACU
rnacentral:rRNA from 1 species